ACGCAACGCGAAGAACCUUACCUGGGCUUGAACCGCACAGGACCAGCCGUAGAAAUAUGGCCUUCCCGCAAGGGACCUGUGUAGAGGUGCUGCAUGGCUGUCGUCAGCUCGUGCCGUGAGGUGUUGGGUUAAGUCCCGCAACGAGCGCAACCCUUACACUUAGUUGCCACCCGCAAGGGGGAACUCUAAGUGGACUGCUCCGGAUAACGGAGAGGAAGGUGGGGAUGACGUCAAGUCAGCACGGCCUUUAUGUCCAGGGCUACACACGUGUUACAAUGCGCGGUACAAACCGUCGCGAACCUGCGAAGGGGAGCUAAUCGGAAAAAACCGCGCUCAGUCCGGAUUGCAGUCUGCAACUCGACUGCAUGAAGCUGGAAUCGCUAGUAAUGGCGUAUCAGAACGACGCCGUGAAUACGUUCCCGGGCCUUGUACACACCGCCCGUCACAUCACGAAAGUGAGUUGUACUAGAAGUCGCCGUGCUAACCGCAAGGAGGCAGGCGCCCAAGGUAUGACCCAUGAUUGGGGUG
rnacentral:rRNA from 1 species